rnacentral:rRNA from 1 species
ACGGGAGGCAGCAGUGGGGAAUAUUGCACAAUGGGGGAAACCCUGAUGCAGCGACGCCGCGUGGGUGAAGAAGUUUUUCGGAAUGUAAAGCCCUAUCAGCAGGGAAGAUAAUGACGGUACCUGACUAAGAAGCCCCGGCUAACUACGUGCCAGCAGCCGCGGUAAUACGUAGGGGGCAAGCGUUAUCCGGAUUUACUGGGUGUAAAGGGAGCGUAGACGGAAUAGCAAGUCUGAAGUGAAAUGUAGGGGCUCAACCCCUGAACUGCUUUGGAAACUGUUGAUCUUGAGUACCGGAGGGGCAGGCGGAAUUCCUGGUGUAGCGGUGAAAUGCGUAGAUAUUAGGAGGAACACCAGUGGCGAAGGCGGCUUACUGGACGGUAACUGACGUUGAGGCUCGAAAGCGUGGGGAGCAAACAGGAUUAGAUACCCUGGUA